UCCCCGUGCAGCACGAGGAGCCCAGCCCUCUCUGCAAGGAAGCCUGAGACAGCUGACAGUGCAAGGAGGUGAUGCAGGAUUAUUACCAUCAAGAGCCAGCACUGCAGGUGGUAUUGAAUUUUUACAGUGCUCAAUACUACAAAUGCUCUCAGCUGAGGUGAGCACCAAUUGCCUCCUCGAGCUGAGGGAGUUCUGCCAAAUGUAACGCACUUCACUUUGUUCUGUCCACUGACGUGGCCAACUUACAUGAUUGACCAAAGGUGUGAAAGUGCUGGGUUUUCCACCAAGAAACAAAGGACUAACCAUUGGAUUAUAAAUGCAGGUGAUCCAUGAGAGACACUUCAAAGAAAUGCUAAGCAAAUGGAGGGUAACCUCCUUUUCCAUUAUUAAUAACUAGCAUCAUACACACCUGCCACCGGAGGACUGGCCAGCAGCUGUGUGAACAGGAGCUGGGAGAGUGGUGAUAGAGGCAGCAUGAAAAGCCAGGCCUAUGUAUGUCAGACUGUUCUCUUCACUCUUCUGUGAAUACACGCUAUUAAUUCCCAUAUCCUAAUUCAUGACUCUUCCCUUUGGCUGAAAGUAUCCUUUUUUUUUAAUGCCCAGAUCCUGCCAAUUCUUCCUUUCCUCCCACAAUAAGAGCUAUUGUAUCUUAGCCCCUGACUUGUGCUUUUGUGAUUAUCAUCUUUAUCAAUCUUUGCUUUUGAAAUUAUUGCUCUUCUACUAUUUGAUUUAGAUUUUACUUUGUACAUUAUUUUAGACUUGACAUUUACUUACAUACACACAGGUGUGACAGACUUAUUUCUCCAAGUAGAUUAUAAUGCCUUGCCUUGUGCAUCAGAGUUCAUGUUUAAACCGCCUCUGUUUGCCCCACUGCAUUUAGUGCAGGACCCAUAGUAAGCAGACCAGAUACCUAUUCUGAAGGCUUCUCCUGUCAACUGACCUCUAGCUACCUGAACUCAGGAACUGAAAUAAUUCUGAAAAAUUUUGAAUGAAUCCUUUAGUAUUCACACUGUUGCUAUUUGCCAUCCCAAACUUAAGAACCACAUAGAUAUGUAAUUUCUUGCUAUCAGUGUUUGCAAUCAGAACUCUUUCUACCCAAGCUCACAGGAACCAAUUGGAUUUAGAUAGCAGAGGAUACCUGUCCUUCCGGAUUCAUGUUGUGUUUCAGUGAUGGGAUCAGCAGUUAUACUGAGACUCUAGCUACCGCUUCUUCUACCCUGACUACAGUACACAAAUAUAAUAAUCAUGUUGUUAUUGUUAUGGGAGCUGCGACCAGGCAGGAAUAUGCAUAGCUUUUGCCUUGAAUUUUGGUCCUGGCACUUAAUUCUCUAUGCACUACUCUUCUCACCUGUAACAUGGUAAAAAUUAUAUGUAUUUUUUAGUAUUCUUAUACAGAAUAAAAAUUAUGUGUGUAAAGUGA